rnacentral:lncRNA from 1 species
AGGAUAAAGAAGGGGGGAAGAGCGAGAACACAGCGAGAACAGAAAACGCAAGGAGGAGUGUGCACUCCGUAACUCAGUUCAAAUCACCCGCCUCGCUCGAGCCAAUCACGUCAAGCCAAAGACGUGCGUGCGGGACCACACACAAAAAAAAAAAACAAUUUUCGACAAAACAGAUCCUACCACAACAAAAUUGCUCCGUGCUUGUAUACUUAUAAUGUUUGUUGAUAUCACGCGGGGUCAUCAUUGCUGUCAGUUAAUAAUUAGAGAUAUAACGCACUAAAUUCAAAUCACCCGCCGCGCGAGAGCCAAUCCCUUCAAACCAAAACCACGCGUGCGGGACCACGUUCAGCGCGAUAGAAAAAAAAUGUACCGGCGUGGGGAAUCGAAGGUGGUGCCGUGAUAAGUUCGUUCCGCGCUUGUAUAUUUGCGGUGUUUAUUGAUAUUAUGUGUGCCAAUCAUCGUUGUCAGUCGUCGACUGGAAGUGUAUCGCGUGUGGGAUGGAAUGGGCGGCCAAAGGUGUGUCAAGAUUUUGUGUUGGUGUUCUGUGGUGUGUCGUCGUAGCCUCAACGUGCUCGUCGCUUUGUCUGCGCGCUCAGCGCUGCGUGAUCGGCGUGCUUUCCACGUUUCUUGAUUACUCACGGUUAUUGCGUGGUUCAAUCGAGUGCAUCUACUCAGACAGUCCACCGCCCAGUGCCUUGUCUGACGACGACGGCGACUGUAAAGCACAAGCGUGCGCCUCAGCGGAUGCCUAGGUAAGGAAGCCCGGGUGGCGUGUUCACACAGCAGUGAUGAUGUACGAGAAAAGUUGUCUGAUAGGCAAGUAUGGAUUCUGCUACAGAAUGGCCCACGAACCCAACUUCCGAGCGGCACGCCUACCGGCCGAACAUCGGAGUGACCCGCCUGUGCGCAGCUUGAUCUGCCUACCACGCGUCGGCCUUGGUCAUCAUCUCACCGGCCUCGCCUUUCAUCUCUACCACCUGGAAAGCCGGCGUGGCCGACGGAGCAUAGACGACUGACUGUUCAAGGAACUGAAGCAGUGGACAGCUUGCUGUGAAAGAUGGG